rnacentral:rRNA from 1 species
AGAGUUUGAUCAUGGCUCAGGACGAACGCUGGCGGCGUGCCUAACACAUGCAAGUCGAGCGGGGAAUAUUGAGCAGCUUGCUGCUUGGUAUUUCUAGCGGCGGACGGGUGAGUAACGCGUGAGCAACCUGCCUUUAUCAGGGGGAUAACGCAUCGAAAGAUGUGCUAAUACCGCGUAAGACCACAGCUUCACAUGGAGCAGAGGUCAAAGGAGCAAUCCGGGAUAAAGAUGGGCUCGCGUCCGAUUAGCUAGUUGGUGAGAUAACAGCCCACCAAGGCGACGAUCGGUAGCCCGACCUGAGAGGGUGAUCGGCCACAUUGGAACUGAGAAACGGUCCAGACUCCUACGGGAGCA